CGCGGCCUAUCAGCUUGUUGGUGAGGUAAUGGCUCACCAAGGCGACGACGGGUAGCCGGCCUGAGAGGGCGACCGGCCACACUGGGACUGAGACACGGCCCUGACUCCUACGGGAGGCAGCAGUGGGGAAUAUUGCACAAUGGGCGAAAGCCUGAUGCAGCGACGCCGCGUGAGGGAUGACGGCCUUCGGGUUGUAAACCUCUUUCAGCAGGGAAGAAGCGAAAGUGACGGUACCUGCAGAAGAAGCGCCGGCUAACUACGUGCCAGCAGCCGCGGUAAUACGUAGGGCGCAAGCGUUGUCCGGAAUUAUUGGGCGUAAAGAGCUCGUAGGCGGUCUGUCGCGUCGGAUGUGAAAGCCCGGGGCUUAACCCCGGGUCUGCAUUCGAUACGGGCAGACUAGAGUGUGGUAGGGGAGAUCGGAAUUCCUGGUGUAGCGGUGAAAUGCGCAGAUAUCAGGAGGAACACCGGUGGCGAAGGCGGAUCUCUGGGCCAUUACUGACGCUGAGGAGCGAAAGCGUGGGGAGCGAACAGGAUUAGAUACCCUGGUAGUCCACGCCGUAAACGGUGGGAACUAGGUGUUGGCGACAUUCCACGUCGUCGGUGCCGCAGCUAACGCAUUAAGUUCCCCGCCUGGGGAGUACGG
rnacentral:rRNA from 1 species